rnacentral:rRNA from 1 species
UACGUAGGGGGCUAGCGUUGUCCGGAUUUAUUGGGCGUAAAGCGCGUGUAGGCGGCUGGGUAGGUCCGCUGUGAAAACUUGAGGCUCAACCUCAAGAGGUCGGUGGAAACCAUCCAGCUAGAGUCCGGAAGAGGAGAAUGGAAUUCCUGGUGUAGCGGUGAAAUGCGCAGAUAUCAGGAAGAACACCCGUGGCGAAGGCGGUUCUCUGGGACGGUACUGACGCUGAGACGCGAAAGCGUGGGGAGCGAACAGG